ACACGCCAAUUUAUUGCAUAAUAGUAACUGAUUUUUUAGUUAUUUAAUAUAUAAUUAUUCACUACAAGAAAUAUGAGUAUUGGUAGCAGUUCACUGUAGCACGAAUUCACGAAGUGCUACUAAUACAGUCAAAAUUGGAUCAUAAUUCUAUGGUAGCACUAAAUUCGUGCUAGCAAAAAUUUUCAUUAAGCUGAGACCCAAAAAUGACUUUUAUAGCGGGAUAUUUAUGUUGGAGCCAAAACACUUAGCGAAAUUUCUGAUUUUGGCGGAUCUACACUUUUUUUUUUGCUAAAGUCAUUUUUUCAUUCAUCACCCACCAAAAAAAAAAAUUAUUCUCAUCAAUCUCUCAUCGAUCUUCUGUUCUUUCUAUUUUCAGAUCUCAUCUCCCCUCUGUUCUUAAUCAUCUGUCUCUCUAUCUUACUCUCCUAACCUCACUCACACCCACACGAUUUCUCAACACAGACAUCUCUCUCUGUUUCACUCUCCUAGUCUCGUCUUCAUCUUGUUCGAGCACUGGUAUGUUGCAGAAAAUUCGACGAAUUCGACGGAUCUAACCGCGCUCGCACCGGAUUCGUGAGCCAUCUCGAAGUUCCCAAAGUAUCCGACUGUAACAGUCGUAAUCUCUCUCUCUCUCUCUCGUCCCUUUUCUCUCGAUAAGCCCUUAAUCGAAGGUCUUUAUUGAUUUGUUAUUUUGCGGAGAGCAAGUAUGAAAAGGUGACCUUGAAGCAUAACCACAAGUUCCUUAUAAAGGUUAAGGAGCACCAAGAAGGCAAAGGAUGCUAAGAAGCUCGGGCUUAACCGUAACCAUGUGUAAUCUCUGUCUCAGAUUGAGAUUGUAGUCAGCUUGACCCUUGACUCAAGCGUAAACCUUUCUCCGGUUUGUAUAAUCUCCGAUUGAGAUUUUAGAUGAAGGGUUUGUUGUUUUGAUUCUAUUACUCUCGAGGAUUCGUAGAUUAUUGAACCAUGGAGACUCGGUGAUGGAUAUAAGGAGUUCUUUCUUGAUGCCCCAGACUCGGUGAAGGUAUAUACAUUGAUAACGAGAUGAUUUGUCUUUGAUAUAUUCAAUCAUAUCUUUGCUGUGGGAAUGUUUGUAGUUUACCUGCAGGGUCCAAACAAACAAAUUUAUUGGCUUGUUAAAUCUAUUCAGUGUGUACUUGAUAUUCUAAAGAAUGCUGAUAGCAAUGCUGAGGUUACUUUGGAGUUUUGACUCCAUUACUCUUUGUUCUGUUUAAUUGAAUUGGCCCUUGUGUUCAGGGAUGCUGGUGUCUCAGCCAUUGCUUCCCACCUUACCCGUUCUAUGGCAGUCAGUACAUCGUUUGAUGGGGACUUCAAGGUAGUUCUUAAACUGAUUUUAUAUUGUGUCUAAAGUCUAUCUUUGCAAGAUUGCUAUUGACAUCAUCACUUUUUGUCGUAUCAGAUUUGGGUUUGCAACAGUGAGAAGAGCCAGAAGGCUAAAGACUCUAGCUGAAUAUGUCAUGCAGUUGGUUCUUAUAUGUAAUAUCUUUUAUAAGCAUUAGGAAUCUUAAACAUUCACAACUGAUUCACGGAUGGGAGUAAUGUAUUACACGUUGGGGAGGUUUAUGUAUAUUUUGGUGCACUCUACAGCACUUGAGAUGGUUUAGUUUAUUAAUUAUCCAAGAACAUACAAGAUAUAUAAAUGUAUAUCUAAAAUACUAUUAAUCAUACUCUAAACCCUUAAUUUUUAAUAUUUCAUCAUAAAAUCCAAAGAUACCAACAAAUAAUAUGAUAUAAUUAAAAUCUAACACUAAUAAUAAACUAGAAAUUUUUUUUUGCUUCAAAUUCUAAACCCUAAACAUACCAUAAUUCCAACAUCCAGCACUUACAAUAAACUUCAAAAUGAACAUUUGUAGAAAUUUAUAACUAAAACAAAAGCAUAUUACUUUAAAAAUAUAUAAAUUUUCAACAUGUAAUUUAAAAAAAAAAAACAAAACCUAAACCUAAACCCUAAUGUUUGAUGUCAGUGUAAUACUUGGAAAGAUUCUAUGUAAGAUGUAUCUAUUAUGAAUUUAAUGCAAUAUAUGUUUUAGUUAUAAAUCAAUUUGCAAUUUGCAAUUUAUAAUUUAUAAAAUAUAAUCUUAAAUUUAAAUUCUAAAUCUCAAACACUAAAUCUUUAAUCUACCCCCUAUAUCUAAUACCCCAAACCUCAAACCUAUGAUAUAAAUUUAAAAACCAAACUCCAAUUAUAUUCAAAAACUCAAACCAUAUACUUGAUCCUAAAUCUUAACCAUGUACCUAAUAGAACUUAUAUCCAAUAUAUAAAAAAAAUUAAUAGUUAAAAUCCUAUUUUUUAAAAGAUUAAUUUCAUAUUCUAAAUAUAUACUUUAAACAAUCAUCCCCCAAACUCUAAACCCUGAAUGAUAAAUCUAAUCUCCAAAUAUAUUUAUUUUCAUUUUAACUCAAAAUCUUAAAUGUAAACUUUAAAUCUAUUUCCAAACUUUAAUUUCUGAUUUUCAACUUAAACCCUAAACUCUAUUUCAUAUACCUCAAUAUCAAUAACAAAGUUUAAAAUUUAAAAUUUAAAACUAUAAAUUUAAUUCUAAAGAUUAAUUUUUAACAUUUAAAUUGUGAAAUCUAAAUCUUAUUUUUUCUCAAAAUUUUAUCAUAAAUAUUCUAUAUAUUAAACACACAAAAUAGAAAAGAAAAAAUGGUGUUCCAAGAAAAAAGAAUAAAAAAACAACAACAAAACAAUCUGAUUGAUGUUCUUCGUAUUAUCAAUAAGCCUACUGCUACUUCUUUGGUUUAUGCUUUUGAAAGGAGAAGCAAUUAAAUAAUUAUUGUCUUUGAUCUUGGUGGUGGUAUCUUGUCUCUGGUACUUUACAUUAAAUUGUUGCUAUAUAUAUAUUAGUUUGAUAAAACGGUUACAAUUUUGUAAACAAAUUUUGAUUUAUAAAAACUCAAUUGCAAUGUAUCUCAAUUGGUGACAAAAAAAAAAGAAAAAAAAAUCUAAUCAGGGGUAUAUGAUUAAAUUGCAAUGUAUAAAUGAUAAUUAAACAUUUAGAUUAAAUUUAAUAUUUGAACUUAAAUAAUGAACAGUAGAGUUUUAAGAUUUUUAGUUAGAUUUGGGUAUAUGAUUAAUUUGGGGUUUAAACCCUUACCCUAAACAUAAACAUUAAAAUUUCAAUAUUUUCAUAAUAUAAUUUCGAUCUUAAAUUUAAAUUUAAAGUUUAAUAGUUUUAAAAAUAGAAUCUCAAAUUUAAAUUAUAACCCUCAAACAUUAAAUCUUAAAUCUAUACCCUAUUUAUAAUACCCUAAACCCCAAACUUAAAUCUUACAUACAAAGUCAUAAAUCUAUUUUUUUAAUUUAUAAUAUAAAUUUUAAACUUAGACUCCAAAUAUAUUCUAAAACUCAAACCAUAUACUUAAUUAUAAAUCUUAACCCUAAACCCUAAACCACAUACUUCAUAUUAACCUACAUCAUAAAUCCUAAUUUACAAAUUUCAAAAAUUUAAAUAUAGGUUUUGGAAUUUAGACUUUGAAUAUAUAUUCCAAACCAUAUACAAUAACUCUAAAUCUUAUACACCAAAUCAUAAAAUCCAAACAUCAAAUUUAACCUUUUCAAAUUUAAACACCAAAACCUAAACAUAGAUACUAAUCAAAAAAUUUCAAAUUGUAUUCUCAAAUUUUACUCUAAACCCCAAACCUAAGACUCCAAAUAAACUUUAAUCAUGAACAUUAACCUUAUAGUUAAAACUUUUAAAUUAGACUAAACUUUUAACUUUAAUCAUAGUCAUUAAUCAAAUCCUAUAUUAUAAAUCUAUUAUUUAAAUUUAAAUUCAUUUGUUUAAACCCCAUAUAAACCCUUUCAUAUUUAAGUGAAUUAGAAGCUUAUUUGAUGACCAAAGAAAAAGAAUUAACAGCUUAAUUCUGAUUGGACCAAAAAGUGAGGCGUGGAUCACCAUUUUUCGAAUCUCUGCCGUUGGUAAUAUUAAUCUUACGGCUCAGAUUAAUUCACUAUUAAUAUUUUAUGUUUGUUUUAUCUCUUUCUUCCUUUCUUCUUCCUCCACACGAUUCUAUACUUCUUAUUUUCUUCUUCUGUACCUCUUUGAUCUCCUCAUCUAAUCUCAUCUCUCUUAUCCUCUUCCCAUCUCUCUUUCUCCUCUGCUCAUCUUUCAUUUACUUUUCUUCUUUCAAGCAAAUGGAUCUGAACGAAGAGGAUUACCACCGUCAUGCUUCUCACCACCAUGCUCCUUUCUAUUCGGUUUCGCUCUUCACCACCACCGCCACCGCACGCUCGUCAACACCACCACCAGUCACGAAAGUGGAGGAGGCACAAGAUUGAUGAAUGAGGCACAAUAGAUUGAUGGAGGAGGUAGCAGUGGUGGGUCGUGAGCAGACCCGGCUUGAAUGUUGAAGACGAAGAAGCUCGGUGAGGAGGCGGCAGGCGGCGGAGAAUAUACAUUAGGUUUAGAUUAGGGUUAGGUAUAUUUUUAAUUUGGUUUAGUAUGCUAAACCGAUUUUAUUUAUUAAUAGUUUGAAUCUUUUUUAUGUUUGUGUUUUGAAAUCUGGGUUCCGCGGAGGAGGCGGAGGGAAGGAGUUAGGGUUUUUUUAGAUUUUGUUUUUAAACCUGGUUUGUAUGUAAACUGGUUUAGUUUGUAAACCGAAUUUUUUUGUAAUCUGGUUUAAUUUAUAAACCGAUUGUAAACCAAAAUUUUAAUAUAAACCAAAAUUAUUUA